CUUGUUGGUGGGGUAACUGCCUACCAAGGCGACGACGGGUAGCCGGCCUGAGAGGGCGACCGGCCACACUGGGACUGAGACACGGCCCAGACUCCUACGGGAGGCAGCAGUGGGGAAUAUUGCGCAAUGGGCGAAAGCCUGACGCAGCGACGCCGCGUGGGGGAUGAAGGCCUUCGGGUUGUAAACCCCUUUCGGCAGGGACGAAGCGAAAGUGACGGUACCUGCAGAAGAAGCGCCGGCUAACUACGUGCCAGCAGCCGCGGUAACACGUAGGGCGCAAGCGUUGUCCGGAAUCAUUGGGCGUAAAGAGCUCGUAGGUGGUCUGUUGCGUCCGCUGUGAAAACUUGGGGCUUAACCCCGAGCUUGCAGUGGAUACGGGCAGACUAGAGGUAGGUAGGGGAGAAUGGAAUUCCCGGUGUAGCGGUGAAAUGCGCAGAUAUCGGGAGGAACACCGGUGGCGAAGGCAGUUCUCUGGGCCUUACCUGACACUGAGGAGCGAAAGCGUGGGGAGCGAACAGGAUUAGAUACCCUGGUAGUCCACGCCGUAAACGUUGGGCGCUAGGUGUGGGGUCCUUCCACGGACUCCGUGCCGCAGCUAACGCAUUAAGCGCCCCGCCUGGGGAGUACGGCCGCAAGGCUAAAACUCAAAGGAAUUGACG
rnacentral:rRNA from 1 species